UACGAAGGUGGCAAGCGUUGUUCGGAUUUACUGGGCGUACAGGGAGCGUAGGCGGUUGGGUAAGCCCUCCGUGAAAUCUCCGGACCUAACCCGGAAAGUGCGGAGAAGACUGCUCGGCUAGAGGAUGGGAGAAGAGCGCGGAAUUCCCGGUGUAGCGGUGAAAUGCGUAGAGAUCGGGAGGAAGGCCGGUGGCGAAGGCGGCGCUCUGGAACAUUUCUGACGCUGAGGCUCGAAAGCGUGGGGAGCAAAC
rnacentral:rRNA from 1 species